GCUUGUUUAGCUCAGUUGGUAGAGCGUAAGGCUCUUAACUUUGUGGGGUUAAAGCCCCACGGUGGGCA
rnacentral:tRNA from 1 species